UCUAUGCCCAACGUGGGGCUGGAACUCACCACGCUGAAAUCAAGAGUCACGUGCUCUACCGAGGGAGCCAGCCAGAGCCCCAGGGUUCCUCUUCCAUGUGGUGGACACAUCCCAGUGGACAGGGCUGGGUGCUUACAGCAGCAGAACCCGGCUGAGCAAACGUGUGGAAGUUUCAGGACCCGUUUAUUGAGUACCCACGUCAGCCGAGCCUGAAAGGGGGAAAACCAAGGGGCGGAGAAGUUAAGUGACUUGCCCAAGGUCUCACCACGGCAAGUGUCAGAGCCACUGUAGCCAGAACUUUGAGCAACUGGAGAAUGGUCUAAGCCAACCCUAUCCUUGAGGAUGAGCCUGCACCUGGUCCUAGAUUCAGAGAGGGGAGGUGAUUCUCUUAACGCCACACAGCAGGAUGGGGCUGAGCGACAAGUCAGAGAUUGUGGACAUGGUGGCUCCUGACGACCAUGGCUUCCGCCUCGCUUCAUCUCGGCUCGCCUGCUCUUGGAGCCGGGCUCAGACACGUCAUGAGGGCACUCAAGCAGCCCAAUGGAGAGGUCCAUGUGGCUCCAGGGGACCGCCAUGAGAACAGCCCAUCACAGGAGUCGUCGGUCCUCCCGCCCCAGCCCAGCCUUCAGCUGAUUGCAGGCCUGACAGCCUGACCUUAACCUCAUGAGAGACGGAGCCAACAUCAGCCAGCGGACUCACUGCCCCAUUCCUGACCCACAGAAACCACAUGACGUAAUAAAUUCAUGUUGUUUUAACCCGCUA